CAUUUUAGCAUUUCAUCCUAAUGCUGGUUCUUGUUCUGGAAGAUGGAUGAUAUAGAGUAGAAUAUGUGUAUUCUGCAAAGAAGACUAAACAAGAAGAACAUAAUGAGCUAUGAACCUUCCACUCCAACUCUUACUAAUAGUGGACAGUGCUUUGGAGAAUUGAGAGCCGCAGAUCAAGAAGUUCAUAAUGUCAUCCACAUAAGUUGAGGUUGCUUUUUUUUUUUUUUUGCCUAUAAUGAUUUAUGAGUAGAUUUGAG
rnacentral:lncRNA from 1 species